UCGGCGUGCCUAACACAUGCAAGUCGAGCGAUUCUCUUCGGAUUAGAGCGGCGGACGGGUGAGUAACGCGUGGGUAACCUGCCCUGUACACACGGAUAACAUACCGAAAGGUAUGCUAAUACGAGAUAAUAUGCUUUUAUCGCAUGGUAGAAGUAUCAAAGCUUUUGCGGUACAGGAUGGACCCGCGUCUGAUUAGCUAGUUGGUAAGGUAACGGCUUACCAAGGCGACGAUCAGUAGCCGACCUGAGAGGGUGAUCGGCCACAUUGGAACUGAGACACGGUCCAAACUCCUACGGGAGGCAGCAGUGGGGAAUAUUGCACAAUGGGCGAAAGCCUGAUGCAGCAACGCCGCGUGAGCGAUGAAGGCCUUCGGGUCGUAAAGCUCUGUCCUCAAGGAAGAUAAUGACGGUACUUGAGGAGGAAGCCCCGGCUAACUACGUGCCAGCAGCCGCGGUAAUACGUAGGGGGCUAGCGUUAUCCGGAAUUACUGGGCGUAAAGGGUGCGUAGGUGGUUUCUUAAGUCAGAGGUGAAAGGCUACGGCUCAACUGUAGUAAGCCUUUGAAACUGGGAAACUUGAGUGCAGGAGAGGAGAGUGGAAUUCCUAGUGUAGCGGUGAAAUGCGUAGAUAUUAGGAGGAACACCAGUUGCGAAGGCGGCUCUCUGGACUGUAACUGACACUGAGGCACGAAAGCGUGGGGAGCAAACAGGAUUAGAUACCCUGGUAGUCCACGCCGUAAACGAUGAGUACUAGCUGUCGGAGGUUACCCCCUUCGGUGGCGCAGCUAACGCAUUUAGUACUCCGCCU
rnacentral:rRNA from 1 species